rnacentral:lncRNA from 1 species
CACACGGUGGCCAGAGGCUGUUGGAUAUUGGAACCACAAGCAUCUCAGAGGUGCCGAGGCUGGGAUUUCAGCUCAGAAUUGGAUCGGACAGGCCAGAAGAGGGCAUCAGAUCCCAUUAUAGGUGUCGUGAGCUGCCAUACUGUUGAUUGGAAUUGAACUCAGGACCUCUGAAGAGUAGUCAGCGCUCUUAACAGGUGUGACAGCACCCAGCCAGGAGGAGACUCAGCAAAUGAGACCAGUGGUGACAUCCAGGGCCUGGAGCUGCUCCCAGGAGCUGUGAGCCAGCCAAUAAAGCAAGCCAGAAGGCCUAGUGGGUGUUGCUACUUGGUCAGUUAUGACUCGGCUAGAAUGCCUAAGGCCUGGACCUGGACCACCCACUACUCAAAGAUGUCGG